rnacentral:snoRNA from 1 species
GCCCUCCCGAUUCCUUACCCUUCAGAUCUAACUGUUGGUCUGAGUGGAUACAAGGGGGAGGGGAAAGGUAAACUCGAAGAGGACUUGGAAUCUUUAGUGAUGUGAAAGUUCAUUUCAAACAUGU